UCUUCUAGGCAGAGUUCAACCUGUCUCUGUAGAAACCAAAAUCCAGAGGCAGCCAGGCUCUUUGACCCUUCGCCCCUCUGAACUCUCCUCUCUCCACAGCUUUGCUUCACCUCCCAGAGCCACACCCUUCCUGCUCUCCCCAUUCCUACUUAAAACAGAACUCUCCAGUUUUCCUAGAUGUUUCCCUACCAUUGAGUUGGCAGGCUGCACCCGGUGAAAGUCGAGCUGUUCCUACUGAUGGUGGUGGCAGAGCUUCAGCUGCCAUAGAACAAUGCUGGGUACAUUGUGUGACUUAAACAAGAAAAGACACCAAGAAAAGAAACUGUGGCAAAGGUAGGCUGCUUUAAUGCAGAAGAAAAGAUAACCACUGGCAACUCCUGGGAUGUAGAAUUCAGGAGCCUUAGUAGCAGAAGACAGUGUCAUUCUCCCAGUAUCUAAACCCGGGGGAAUUGAUUUACCCUGCUUGAGUCAUCUGCCUAUUUCUUGGACCAGUCCCUGGGGUAAGUGACAGAAAUGAUUAUCCCGGCUGGCUGAUAUGCCACCCCUGUGGUUGUAGUGGAUAGCUCUGAAUGGCAGCUCACCAGAACCACGUGGAAGGAAGAAAGAAGGCUUCUGCUACCACAACGAGGAGAGAAUGCCAGGCAUAAGAAAGCCACAGAUAUCCCUAAAAAAAGGGGGAACCUAUUUGGUUUUUAAUUUAUUAAUUCAUUCAGAUAAUUUGCUCUUUUGUACAAAAAAACUUCUGCUUUCCUGCUACGACCAAAUAUUUUCAGAUAUAGAAAUAAAAGAUCGCUUUCCCCCUCAAGUAAUUUAGUGAAGUAGAAGAGAUAGACAAAGAAACAAUUAUAAAAUGAAUCGUCUUUCAGGCUGUGAAGCCCAACUGCAGAACUUUUAAAAACAGAAUUCUUUAGGUAUUUCUAAAGGAGUCAGGAAGCACCAUGGAAAUGGAGAUCAUCCUCUUCACUUCUGAUUACAGCCAUGACGAAACUCAUUAGUUACCCUCCUGCCCAGGGAGAUGAGGAGGAAGUUCAAAGAGACGUUAAACAUCUAAAGACAAAAGCAUCCUUUGGGGGAGGGGAGGCUGUGGAAAUUCCAAGGAUUCUCUGGUUAAGAAAAGCUCUUAAUCAACUCCCAUGUCCUGGACUGCCGGAAUCAGCUCCUAUCCAGACCUGCAAGAAUCAACACCUUCCUGGUUUGCUGGUGAUUUCUUACCAAAAAUUGACAAUAUGCUAAGCUUGUCAGCAACCAAGUAUUUAUCACACUGAAAUUGUCUGAUCAAUCUCACUUCUUUAAUGAUAUUUUAAGUUAAGCAACUUCUUAUGGCAUUUCAGUGGCCUUUGCCAAUGUUCCAGGAGACACUAUUUUCUGAAACUCAAUAUUCCAUUUGCAAUUUCCCCAGGUCCCACCUAUUAGGUUAAAAAAAAAAUGAAGAAUAUGUUUCAUAGCAACAAUAACCAAUGGUAGUCACUGCUAAGUUACUUUAUUUCUCAUUGAAAAACAACAGUGAUUUAAGGUGAACUUGGCCAGGAUAGCUUGUUCUAAUAAUAAACAAGUAUAAAUAAAAGAGUAUACAUAUAUUUUAAAGGUCUACACAUCCCUUAAGAUCCCUUAAGUGUUUUACUAUUGCCUACACCAAACACAGAUCUCGCAAACACAUUUCAAGCGUCUACUGCUGUGGCCUUCUACAUUCUAGUUCCGAGUACUUUCCCAAUAGGGAGACCAAGGGCCAUAACUCACACAUGUCUAGGACUUCUUGGUGAACAGAGGCCUGCAUUACUUCUGCCCAUAUAACAGGCCUCUUAAUAAUAUAACCUACACUCUGAUAUAAAGUAGUCAUAUCUGUCAUCUCAAGCCUUCUAAAGUUUGUCAAUACUCAGAAUGGUUUUGAGGAAAGUCAGUGGCAGGAAGAGAAAUUACUUAAAUUUAAGAGAAACACAUCUCAUUAUUGACUUAGUCAAAAUAGGCUCGAUAAGCAAAUUACAUGAUUCCACCAAAUCUGUAGCUCAAGUGAGAGCAGACCUGUUAAAAGUCAUAAGAGGUGUCCUUUCAUGAUGCACUCAUAUAUUGCUGGUGGGACUACAAAUUGGUGCAACUAAUCUGGAAAGCAGUAUGGAGAUUUCUUAGAAAACUUGGAAUGGAACCAUCA